rnacentral:rRNA from 1 species
UACGUAGGGUGCAGCGUAUCGAAUUACUGGGCGUAAAGCGUGCGCAGGCGGUUCGUUGUGUCGGCGGUGAAAUCCCCGGGCUCAACCUGGGAAUGGCCGUUGAAACUGGCGAACUGGAGUGUGGCAGAGGGGGGUGGAAUUCCGCGUGUAGCAGUGAAAUGCGUAGAGAUGCGGAGGAACACCGAUGGCGAAGGCAGCCCCCUGGGCUGACACUGACGCUCAGGCACGAAAGCGUGGGGAGCAAACAGG